GCGGUGCAGGGGAGCGUGGCUGGGCUGCGGGUAACUGGGCGAUCGCUACUGCCAGGGCCACGCGUGCUGCCCGCGCCGUGUAAUUUCCGGAGCCAGCCUUCUCCGGACAGGCCCGAGCUCUUCCCGUCCACACAGAUCCGUCACGCUGCAGCUACUAGAGACAAGGAGCCGCUUCACUACCCAGCUCCCAUUCCUGCCCUGAGGCCUCUCUCGCCUGGGCACUGCGGGAAGCGGGAGAGUACGUGCUCCUGUCAUUCAAGACUAACAUCAGGAUCUUUGAAGACACCUAUGAGCUACAAAGACUUAGGGCCUCAUCCUGCCAAAAAUAUAUCCCUCAAUUCCCAUUGGCCUCAAUGGGAGUUCAGGGUGCUCAGUGCCCCUCAGGAUCAGGCCCUACAGAAGAGAAUUGGGAUGUAUCGCCAUGCAUCUUGAAAGAUGGGGAAACUGAGGCACACAGCAGAGAAGUGACUUGUGCACAGUCAUCCAGAAGAUCAAUGGCAGAGCCAGAAUUUGAACUCAAGUCUCCAAAGUCCCAAUCCAGCACCCUAUCUAGUGGACAACACCUUUGCAUAGGCUUUGGUAAUGUGGACCAAAUUGCCUAAGCACUUCCUAAAAAUAGAUCUUCAAUAACUCAUUUACUUUGUCUCUGCUAUAUGCCACAGGAGAAAGUUAUGGGCUGCUUUCUGCACUGAUAUUACUGUUUACUACAUUGGUUCAGAGUAAUUCCAUUGAAGUUAAUGGCAUGACACGUACAUAAAACCAGUGUAAGUGAGAUCAGAAUCACAUCCUUUGACAUCAACUGAUUUACACUAGUGUAACUGAAAGCAGCAUUUCACCUGCUGUAUAGAGCAGAUAUUUCUUUCAUCAUGAGCCAAGAGUUUAAAUCAUUAAUGUGUUUCUUUUAUAGGAUCCUCCUUCUCACAUUGACAAGUCAACUCACCCUCAUUGUCUGGGGCAAGAGCAGCCAAAGUUAAAAACCUGCAGCAGAUGAAGCUGAUUGGAGUGGGUCAGUGCAUACAUCUGCCUUUGACUCUCAGCUCACAUAGACAUACCUGCACUAGCUCUGCUCAAGCUAGCAACUAUAGACAGCAGUGGAUCUGCGGCAGCACAGGCAGCUACUCGGGCUAGCCGCCCUGAGUACAGUCCCAUCCUGCUCCCAGGUACAUGCUCAGGUAGCUAGCCCAAGCCACCCCCCAUGCCAUCACAGAUGCACUGCUAUUUUUAGGCACUAGCUCAAGCAGAGCUAGCGUGGGUACAUGUACACAAACUGGGACUCAGACUUCCCAGCUCAUAUGUAGAGGUAUACAGUCUGAGCAUGUUACACCUGUGCUCCGCACUAUAUUAAUUACCCCAUCUGUUUCUAUGUCUAGUUCAAGCUGUUGUUUUUAAUCUGUUAACACCUAUGUGGUUUGGGACUUAGCUACUUUAGAAACCAUUUCUUUUCUCAUGUCCCACUGUGCAAAAUUCUCCUUUGUGCCCAGAGCCAACAGAAGCCUUAUGCACAUCUUAUGCCCCCCUCAAAAUGGAACUCAAGGAGUGCUUUGGCCUUGUCUGUCCCUCUACACAGGGGAGAAUUCCACCCCAUUGUGAGAGCUGAGAUCAGCAGAGAUGCUUUUGCUGGCAGGGCCAGGAUGGUGCACCCAUUCUCAAUGGAGGCUCCCUGACAGUGAAACUUAGUCCAUCAGACCUCAGGUCAGUUUGCCUUCAUAGCAUGGUGCAAAACUCAUCUUUAUGGCCCUACCUUUGCCAGAUGGCUCUAAACCAAAGCUCUGUCUUUUAUUUUUCUCUUUCUCAGAUUUCUUUCCCAUUAGAUGGAUAGGUAACAGGGACGGGGUUAACAUUGCUGCCCUUUGUGGGCAUUUAUAGACUGAUGUUUUCUGUUAUGUGUGAUGUGCUCAGAUACCACAUCAAUUGACAUAAUAAAAUAACAAUAAAAUAAUUAUAAUAAUACAGGGGAGAGAGAGGAAAUACUGAACAGCAGCUUUCCAACCAAGUGGGAGCUAAAAAUAGAGCAUGAUAAUAAAAAUUAAAGGAAAUUUUUGCUGGCACACACACAUCAGAAUAAACCUGGCUUAGGUAAUAACUGAGAUUAAACAGACUGUACCUCAUCUUUUCCUUUGCAUCUUCAAAACUUUCAGAAACGAAGUAGACUUCCUGGAAAGUUGUGAUGAUGCAUUCUUGCUUGCAGGUCACCUUAGGAUCAAAGGACUUGACUUUGGCAUUGCCAGAGAGAGCAUGCUGGAUAAUAGACAAAGCAAUGAAGCAAAGAUAUUAACAUUAGCACAUGUCAGAGUAGUAUCAGCACCACAAGAGCACACAGGAAAAAACAGAGGAUAGAAACAGUGUGUUGAAGAGGACAAAAUGAUGCCAUAUAUGAAAUCUCUGUAGCAUAUCAUCUUUUAAGAGUUGUGUCUGCAGAUUGGUACCAGCUAACCCUUAGAAAACUGGCUAUCCUUAAAGAGCCAAAUUCUGCCCCCCUUACCUACAGUGAGCAGUGUCUUGUAAUGUGAGCAAGUCAACAUACUUGAACUCUGAAGCCAAUAUGAUUGCACAUGUAGCAGGAGGCUACUCAAUGAGAACAAUAAUAUCAGAAUCUGGUCUGACAAGCAGAGCUUUAUGCUAAAAACACAUCUAUUUAGGGCUUGAUUCUAAGAAAUGCAGGGCACCGUCAACUCCAUCUAAAACCACUUGGGAGCAACAGAGCUCAGCACACACCAAAAGACAAUUUCCAAUUAUUAGUUCUAUUUUUUUCGCUUAACCAGAAUCAUCCCUAGAGGUCUCUGGGAGCCAGAUUUUUAAAGGUAUUUAGGUGCCAAACUCCCACUGAAAUCAAUACCUUUAAAUAUCUUUUAAAAUCUAGCUCUAGGAGCUUCCAGAAUAAAUGCUACCCAAAGAUAUGCUGCUUCAGUUCACAGUUUCUAAAUGGGCCAUUGGCCAUAGCUACUCAGUCCACCCAAUAUUUUGAACCAACUACCACAAAAAUCAGGUGAGAAAGAAAUAGGGCAAAUAAAGGGAGGAUGUUUUCCUCUUCUCACCUUGAGCUCACUGAUGGAAGAAAGUAAACCAGCCCCAUAGACUCGUAGCUGUCCCUCUUGCUUACAUAAACCAAAUUCCACGGUGAAGAAGUAGCACUGAUACAGAAGAAAAACAAAAAAGAAUUAAAAUGGAGUUGGGGGAAACUGUCUUCAACACAAAUGCAACUAAUGGUGCAGCAGAUUUUGUAAGUCAAGCAAACUAGACCAAGGGUUAUCAAGCUGGGUGUAACAACCCCCUAAUAGGGUCUUGAGCAAAUGUCAGAGGGUCACAAUUACCCUGCUUUUCCCAUUUUGCUAAGUGGAAAGGGGCCCAGAAUGAGAAAGGUUAGGAACCACUGUGCUGGUUUACUUUACUAAAACAAGUAAGUUUACUGCUACUAUUCCACACCCUAGGCUCAUCUUUAUCACAGAGACUUUUGAUCUCAACAGAAGCACUGAGUUCUAGUCCUGCCACACAAAUACACUGAACCAUCCAGUUGAAAUUGUUAUGAGGCAGCUUAACAGAAGCACUGGAAGUGAUUGAAUUUUUUUAAAACUGAUAAAUAAUUAGAUCAGCCACAGGGUCAUGAACAAGAGUCAAGCUCCCUUCUGUUUUCUCUUUAGUUCUGUUGUCUGAAGGAAUUAAUGAUGUUUAUUUCAGUUUGCUGGCCUUGGAGAUUUGUGUAGGUAUAUUUGGGGGAGGGGAGAGUUCAGAAGUGCUUAGCAGUAUUGGUUUGAUUCUGCUCCUAUAGAAGGCAAUGGGAGCAAAGAUAGGACAGCGUUGAGUGCUUUUGAAAAUCCCUCCCAUUGUUUCUGUUUAUUAUAAUUCUUUUUUCCCCCUCUUAAAAUUUAUUUCUUUCAAAACAUCCAGAAGACUUUGGACAUGGGACACCCACAAUAUAUAUAUAUAUUUAAUUUGUUGAGGGAAAAACCCUCUCACUACUAAAUUGUAAAAAUACACAAUCAAUUGCAUCCUAUGAUAACUAUAUUUCCUUUGGGUUAAUUCUAAAGGAUAAAGAAACAGAUUAUUGUGGGAAUUCAUCCCAGAGGUAAAAGGGCUUGAAUUUAGAAGAAACAGACCAUUGGUUCUCAAUCUGGAAGUUAUGAUUCCCAGAGACUCUUAUUUUAUGGCUAGAUUGAGAAUAUCAUUCACCUCCUAUCACUUCUGUUCUAUCAUGGAGUUACAGAACAGAAAAAGUUUAGAACCAGUGAAACAGACAAUAUAGUGAAUGAUUUGCUUCUGCUGAUAGUGAAUGAUAAAUCUCCCAAUUACUUCAGGGGGAGCAGGAUCAGCCCUGUAAAAUGCUGAGAGCAAUGCAAGUGGGAUUAUCACCGCCACAGAUUGAGACACUCACUGUUGCCAG